UACGGGGGGGGCUAGCGUUGUCCGGAAUUAUUGGGCGUAAAGGGCGCGUAGGCGGAAUUGUAAGUCAGUGGUUAAAGUUCGGGACUUAACUCCGAGUCGGCCUCUGAGACUACAAUUCUUGAGUGCGGAAGAGGAAAGCGGAAUUCCCGGUGUAGCGGUGAAAUGCGUAGAUAUCGGGAAGAACACCAGUAGCGAAGGCGGCUUUCUGGUCCGCAACUGACGCUGAGGCGCGAAAGCGUGGGUAGCAAACAGG
rnacentral:rRNA from 1 species